rnacentral:rRNA from 1 species
GACGAACGCUGGCGGCGUGCCUAAUACAUGCAAGUAGAACGCUGAAGCUUGGUGCUUGCACCGAGCGGAUGAGUUGCGAACGGGUGAGUAACGCGUAGGUAACCUGCCUGGUAGCGGGGGAUAACUAUUGGAAACGAUAGCUAAUACCGCAUAACAGUAGAUAUCGCAUGAUAGCUACUUGAAAGGUGCAAAUGCACCACUACCAGAUGGACCUGCGUUGUAUUAGCUAGUUGGUGAGGUAACGGCUCACCAAGGCAACGAUACAUAGCCGACCUGAGAGGGUGAUCGGCCACACUGGGACUGAGACACGGCCCAGACUCCUACGGGAGGCAGCAGUAGGGAAUCUUCGGCAAUGGACGGAAGUCUGACCGAGCAACGCCGCGUGAGUGAAGAAGGUUUUCGGAUCGUAAAGCUCGGUUGUAAGAGAAGAACGAGUGUGAGAGUGGAAAGUUCACACUGUGACGGUAUCUUACCAGAAAGGGACGGCUAACUACGUG